GGUGUAUGGAAUGAAGUUUGAUCCAAGAUCCAUCCAUAUUAAUAUUUUCUUCUUGUUUUGAUCUCGGACCAGGCUUCAUUCCUCACACC
rnacentral:pre_miRNA from 1 species